rnacentral:misc_RNA from 1 species
AAGUCGUAACAAGGUUUCCGUAGGUGAACCUGCGGAAGGAUCAUUAAAGAAUCGGUGACCCUCGCGGUCCCAUUCUCACCCUUUGUAUACCAAACAUCAGUUGCUUUGGCUGGCCCUCGGGCCGGCCAGAGGAAGUAAACCCUUGAAUCUUUGCUGUCUGAGUACUAUAUAAUAGUUAAAACUUUCAACAACGGAUCUCUUGGUUCUG